rnacentral:rRNA from 1 species
AACGCGAAGAACCUUACCCGGGCUUGAACUACAGAUGGUAGGUCCCUAGAAACAGGGGCCGACCCGCAAGGGAGUCUGCAGAGGUGCUGCAUGGUUGUCGUCAGCUCGUGUCGUGAGAUGUUGGGUUAAGUCCCGCAACGAGCGCAACCCCUAUCCAAUGUUGCUAAUCCCGCAAGGGAUGCACUCUUUGGAAACUGCCUUCGAUAAGAAGGAGGAAGGUGGGGACGACGUCAAAUCCUCAUGGCCCUUAUGUCCGGGGCUACACACGUGUUACAAUGGCCGGUACAGAGGGAAGCAAUACCGCAAGGUGGAGCCAAACUCAAAAAGCCGGCCCCAGUUCAGAUUGUGGGCUGCAACUCGCCCACAUGAAGGCGGAAUCGCUAGUAAUCGCAGAUCAGCAGGCUGCGGUGAAUACGUUCCCGGGCCUUGUA